rnacentral:rRNA from 1 species
CCCGCCCGCUGGCGGCAUGCCUAACACAUGCAAGUCGAACGAGAUCUCUCGGGGUCUAGUGGCGCACGGGUGCGUAAUGCGUGGGAAUCUGCGUUGGGGUCUGGAUUAACUCUGUGAAAUUUGAGCUAAUACCAAAUGAAGUCUUCGGACCAAAGAUUUAUCGCCCUGGGAUGAGGCGGCGUAGGAUUAUCUAGUGGGUGGGGUAAAGGCCUACCAAGGCAUCGAUCCUUAGCUGGUCUGAGAGGAGGAUCAGCCAAUCUGGAGCUGAGACGCGGCCCAGACUCCUAGGAGAGGGAGGAGAGGUUAAUACUGGACAAUGGACGCAGGCCAGAUGCAGCAAUGCCGGGUAAGUCAUGAUGGCGGUAGAGAAGUGAAGCUGGUUUACACGCGGCGAUAAUGACAGUACCGGGAGAAUAAGCCCCGGCUAACUCCGUG